GAUGAACGCUGGCGGCGUGCCUAAUACAUGCAAGUAGAACGCUGAAGCUUGGUGCUUGCACCGAGCGGAUGAGUUGCGAACGGGUGAGUAACGCGUAGGUAACCUGCCUCUUAGCGGGGGAUAACUAUUGGAAACGAUAGCUAAUACCGCAUAAAAGUCGAUAUCGCAUGAUAUUGAUUUGAAAGGUGCAAAUGCAUCACUAAGAGAUGGACCUGCGUUGUAUUAGCUAGUUGGUGAGGUAACGGCUCACCAAGGCGACGAUACAUAGCCGACCUGAGAGGGUGAUCGGCCAAACUGGGACUGAGACACGGCCCAGACUCCUACGGGAGGCAGCAGUAGGGAAUCUUCGGCAAUGGGGGCAACCCUGACCGAGCAACGCCGCGUGAGUGAAGAAGGUUUUCGGAUCGUAAAGCUCUGUUGUAAGAGAAGAACGAGUGUGAGAGUGGAAAGUUCACACUGUGACGGUAACUUACCAGAAAGGGACGGCUAACUACGUG
rnacentral:rRNA from 1 species